rnacentral:rRNA from 1 species
AGUGAACGCUGGCGGUAGGCCUAACACAUGCAAGUCGAACGGCAUCACAGUAAGAGCUUGCUCUUACGGGUGUCGAGUGUCGGACUGGUGAUUAAUACAUCGGACUCUACUUUUUCGUGGUGGCUAACGUAGGGAAACUUACGCUAAUACCGCAUACUACCUACGGGUUAAAGCAGCGUAUCUUCGGCCCUUGCGCGAUUUAAUGAGCCGAUGUCGGAUUAGCUAGUUGGCGGGGUAAAGGCCCACCAAGGCGACGAUACGUAGCUGGUAUGAGAGGAUGAAGAGGCACAUGGGAAAUGAGACACGGCCAAGACGCGAACGGGAGGCAGCAGUGGGGAAUAUGGGACAAUGGGCGGAAGAAUGAUCCAGAAAGACCGCGUGGGUGAAGAAGGCAUUCGGGGUGUAAAGACAAUUUGUUGGGAAAGAAAAGCAGCAGGUUAAGACACCGAUGUUAUGACGGUACCCAAAGAAUAAGCACCGGCUAACUUCGUG